UACAGAGGGUGCGAGCGUUGUCCGGAAUCACUGGGCGUAAAGGGCGCGUAGGCGGUCUGCUAAGCGUGUGGUGAAAGCCUGGGGCUCAACCCCGGGUCGGCCAUGCGAACUGGUGGACUGGAGCUUGUCAGAGGCAGGCGGAAUUCCGGGUGUAGCGGUGGAAUGCGUAGAGAUCCGGAAGAACACCGGUGGCGAAGGCGGCCUCUGGGACAAUGCUGACGCUGAGGCGCGACAGCGUGGGGAGCAAACAGG
rnacentral:rRNA from 1 species